GUGUAAAUAUCUUACCCAACGCCAUCUCAUUCUCUGGAUCUCCAUCAACUUAUCUUGACUCAACUCAGAGGCGUAUUACUCAGAAACUUCAGCCACGGAGUCUCGGAGACCCAGGCAUCGUUCAAACUUAUUUCUCUCUUGGGAAUUUCCACCUGCAUCCAAUCAUAUUUCAGAAAACAAAGGGAAGAAUGAUUCAGGGGAGAAAUGGCCGGUAAAUAUUGUGAAGGUGGUAAAGCAUCGCAGCUAUAAGUGGCCAAUUUCGAUAGCGACCAGUUUACAUUUACCUGGUGUCACGUUCUGUACGUGAAAAGUGUUAAGUUGAGGAAGAAAAUUAUAUGUAACAACGAGAAGUGGACAGCUACGAGAAAAAAAUUGUUUCAAAGUUUCAUAUUACUAAUGGCACCACUUCGAUCAAUAACGUCUCGCUAAAAUGCAGCUGCAUGUUCGUUGAGUGAAGUGACAGCCUAAUAUUAUCUUUAAUGCGUUGCAGAAUAAAAAAUAACUUUCGGAAGACAAUUGUGGAGAAGGCACAUCAGUUGCUCGCCGACAGUACCACAAGCAAAACGCCUUCUGUGGAGGUGGGAUACGUACACCAUUAGAUAGUGAUACCCCAGGACUUCAGAUAUAGAAAAAUAUUGUUGACGUGUUUAGAGGGUUCAUUAAUUUUUCAUCUAUUGACGAACCUGAAAUUAUUCUUCGUCAUCUGUCGACUGGUCUCAGUGUCCUGCAAUGGUGACCAAAUUAAUCAAGAAAGACAAGAUCCAGAGGGACCAGGAGAAUAUUUUUUUGCAUGGAUAUUAUCAACGUAACAGGAUUCUUCUAUUAAUACUUGGAAUCUGGCCAGAUACUCCUUCAUGGUUAAUAAUUACUAUACAAUGUCUUGUGGUUCUAUCGACGAUAUCAAUGCUGAUACCACAGUAUGCGUUUUUAAUUCGAGUCUGCGAUAAUUUAGAGACUCUGGUAUCUGCAAUGGUAGAGCAACUGACUGUUGUCAUAGCAUAUAUUAAAUUGUACUACUUUGGAACAGGAAAGGAAUGGAUGCAAACAAUGAUAAAUUCCGUUAACGAGGAUUGGCGCGAAGUGGAUGAUUCAUUAGUUGAAACUCUUCAUAUUUAUGCUAAAAAGGGCUACAUGCGAACCACUAUCUACAUGGUUACUCUCUAUUCUAUGGCAAUCAUUUACUGUGGAUCUCCUUUGAAGUCACCAAUUCUUGAUGUUGUUUAUCCUCUCAAUGAUUCAAGACCAAAAUUUUUUCCGUUACAAGUCGAUUACUCUAUCUACGGCAUCGAUGCGGAUGACUACUUUAUUAUACUCAUAAUGCAUUCCAUGAUAACUGUCAUAAUUGUAGUGCAUAUGCUAGUAACAAUCGAUACUUUUAUUUCAAUCAUGGUUCUACAUUGUUGCGGAGUAUUUGCAGUUGUUGGAGACAUGUUACAACAGAUCCGGGGAGAUUGCUCACCCCGGGAGCAAUAUGAAAUCCUAUGUAACGGGAUACGACAACAUCGUCGAGCCAUAGCAUUAGCAGAAACCAUUGAAACAUCGUUUACAAUAAUGUAUGGGUUCGUAGUUUUAAUCACCAUGGUACUGAUGAGUUGUGGACUACUUCAAUUAAUAAUGAAAAUGGACCAGCCAACGGAGAUUAUGAGAGGAGGUUCAUUUGAGGUUGCCGCAAUGCUCCAUCUGUUUUUUAUAACUCUACCAGUUUCAGUUGCAAUUGGCCGGGGAUGUCUUUGAAAGCGAAACAAUUGAUAUCGAUUAUGUUGAUGCGUAGCAUAAAACCAAUGCAGAUGACCGCUGCCAAAUUUUUUCCUCUCAAUAUCGAGAGUUUUGGGAAAGUCCUGAAAACGUCGUUUUCGGUCUUCACGAUGGUAUUAUCGAGUCGAUGAUUCUUUCAUAGAACUCAAAUCCAAAUAGACUUUCUGACAUUCGACUCAACGAUUGGAUACGAAUAGAAAAGACGCAAAAUUAGUACUUCUUCACCAUCUUUGCAAAACUAUAUCUGUUGAAUAAAAUGCAAAUGCGGGAGAUGAAAUGGAAUUCUUGCAUUUAUAUUAGAUAAAUAAGGCCAUAGAUAGUUUUUCAUUGAUUUUCGUGACUACACAAAAUAACGAAAUUAAUAGGAUUGACAUUCAGUACACACAGAGCAACACUCAAUUAAUAUUCUGUCUUUUCGACGAAACAGUCGCGAACUUUUUUCUGAACGUUUCGUAAUUAUUAUUAGAAUGAUCUGCGAAAAAUUAGGAUACUAUCAAGGAUAAUUUCCCAGUUGAUUCUGUAGUCGAUCUGCAAAUCGUGAGUUUCGUAAUUUCGACUAAAUAUUUGUACAAUGUGUGCAGAGAAUUUUCAGCAAGGAAAUUCAAGAAAAAACCGUAGA